ensembl:misc_RNA 7SK 7SK RNA
GGAUGUGAGGGCGAUCUGGCUGCGACAUCUUUCACCCCAUUGAUCGCCAGGGUUGAUUCAGCUGAUCUGGCUGCCUAGGUGGGUGUCCCCUUCCUCCCUCACCGCUCCAUGUGCGUCCCUCCUGAAGCUGCGCGCUCGGUGGAAGAGGAUGACCUUCCCCGAUGGAGGAGGUCCGUUCUUCAGUCAAGGGUACACAAGUAGCUGCACUCCCCUGCUAGAACCUCCAAACAAGCUCUCAAGAGAGUAGAUCUUAAAAGUUCUCAUCACAAGAAAAAAAAAUUGUAACUAUGUGUGGUGACAGAUGUUACCUAGA